GACACCUCGAAAGUGAAAUUACCUAUAGAAAUAACAUAUACAUAGUAUUAGUUUCUAUUGGCUAACAAUUCUUAACCCAGUUCAAUCACCGGAUAUGGAUCUUACCGGAUACCAUGGUCAGGUACUGACUUCAUAACACACACAUUUCGUUCUUCGUCCGUGCUGAUAUUUCGUGUAAGGGGAACUCAAAAUGGGUAAGGUAAAGUGCUCGGAACUUCGAACCAAGGAUAAGAAGGAGCUGUUGAAGCAGCUAGAAGAGCUCAAGACAGAGCUCACAAACUUGAGAGUGGCAAAAGUCACGGGAAGGUGCAGCUUCGAAGCUGU